rnacentral:lncRNA from 1 species
ACAGCCUUAUGUCACAGGUCAAGUUGGCCUUCAGGGAAAGAGGGCCUUCUCUGAGGGGAGGCUGCCUCAGGGGCUUUGACAGGACCAACAUUCUUAGCCUGGUCUCUCUGAAGAGCAGACUUGCACGUACAGAAGAAAGUGCUGGAAACUUAUUGGAGAACAUUAUAAGGGAUGAUAUGAGAGUACUGGAUGAGAAAGAACAGGGCUGAAGAGAAGGAGUGGCUAUAAUCUCAGUGGAGGAAGGGGUCUUCAGAGUGGACCCCAGUCCUUAUUAUCUGUGGGGUUCUUCAGAAAAGAAGCUGGGACUUAGGGUUCGAAGUUUGUGAGCGCCCGACUCGCCAGCAAGAAAAACGCCACAACAGGAUCCUUCUGCACACGUUCACCGACAUACUCCAGAGCCCAGCGGACUCCACCUGCCUCUUUAUUAUCAGUAGAAGAGUGAGCACCUAGCAACACAAAAUUGAAUCUUUUUGCUGCUUUGGCACCAGGAUACCCAUGGCAACUUGCUUGUGUUUCUGUGGUGUGACCUUCUAUGGCUGUUUUAUGAACCUGCGUGUAUUCUCCAAGAAGUAGAGCUCCACACAGGAAGCAUGAGACAGUGGUGCUGGGACACGACAGGAGGUGAUGAGCAUUUUCAGAAGAGCUCAUGCUAUGAGUGCUGAGAUCCCACUAGUAUAGGAAAUCCUGGUGCCUGUCAGGAUGUAGGUGACUGUCGACAGAAGUUAAAUAGCCCAGAGUUCUGCAGUUGCUCCUAGAAGAUGUCAAAAAUUACCUGUUGUUGAACGCCUUUUUCACAAUGCAUCUGCCUUCCAGUUUGUUUCUAAUGUGCCCUCCAUGGAAAAGGCAGAGCAAAUUUUCCCUUUGUGGGUGCUGAAGAUGUCUGGGUACUUGCUGCAAUGAGAGAGGCAGUAGAAUUCAUUGCAUGUCCCUGCUUUGUGAACACUCAAGAUUGCUGCUCUGUUUCAUUACUCAUACACUGCAUCUACGGGGAGCUCUGUGUCAUCAUUACAACCUUUGAGAAUUCACUGCUGGUCCAGUGUCAAGAAUGAACGGCGAGAGGACAAGUGAGAAUCUAAGUACUCAGUGAGACCGAGCAUUGAAGGCUGAGAAGUAAGGGGCUGGCAGUUGAUAACAAGCUGAUUUCUGAAAGCUCAACCUGGGGUGUGGAAGAGGAGCUAAAAACGAACCAGUUGUGAAGCCUCAGAUCCCUUCUGCAUCACCUCUUUAGGACUCAACUGCCCUCUUUGCAAAAGUUGGGAAUUCACAAGCAUCACAACAGACCUUUGAAGAUAGAGUGGGCAAGAGCCAGUCCCCUGAGAUUCAGCAUUUGUUCAUUUAACAAAUAUUUUCC